GCACUUCUCUUGCUGCUAUCAUGUGAAGAAGGACGUGUUUGCUUUCCCUCCUGCCAUGAUGGUAAGUUUCCUGAGGUCUCCCCAGCCACGCGGAAGUGGUUCGAAACCGCGAAGUCUUUUGCCCUCCAUGGUGCACAUGUGAUCUUGGCCUGCAGGAACAUGGCAAGGGCGAGUGAAGCAGUGUCACGCAUUUUAGAAGAAUGGCAUAAAGCCAAGGUAGAAGCAGUGACCCUGGACCUCGCUCUGCUCCGUAGCGUGCAGCAUUUUGCUGAAGCAUUCAAGGCCAAGAAUGUGCCUCUUCAUGUGCUUGUGUGCAACGCAGCAACUUUUGCUCUACCCUGGAGUCUCACCAAAGACGGCCUGGAGACCACCUUUCAAGUGAAUCAUCUGGGGCACUUCUACCUUGUCCAGCUCCUCCAGGAUGUUUUGUGCCGCUCAGCUCCUGCCCGUGUCAUUGUGGUCUCCUCAGAGUCCCAUCGAUUUACAGAUAUUAACGACUCCUUGGGAAAACUGGACUUCAGUCGCCUCUCUCCAACAAAAAACGACUAUUGGGCGAUGCUGGCUUAUAACAGGUCCAAGCUCUGCAACGUCCUCU
rnacentral:sRNA from 1 species